CCUACGGGAGGCAGCAGUGGGGAAUUUUGGACAAUGGGCGCAAGCCUGAUCCAGCCAUUCCGCGUGAGUGAAGAAGGCCUUCGGGUUGUAAAGCUCUUUCGCAAGGGAAGAAACGUUACAGUCUAAUAAACUGUGAUAAUGACGGUACCUUGAUAAGAAGCACCGGCUAACUACGUGCCAGCAGCCGCGGUAAUACGUAGGGUGCGAGCGUUAAUCGGAAUUACUGGGCGUAAAGCGUGCGCAGGCGGUUUUGUAGGUCAGAUGUGAAAUCCCCGAGCUCAACUUGGGAACUGCGUUUGAAACUACAAGGCUAGAGUAUGGUAGAGGGGGGUAGAAUUCCACGUGUAGCAGUGAAAUGCGUAGAGAUGUGGAGGAAUACCAAUGGCGAAGGCAGCCCCCUGGACUAAUACUGACGCUCAUGCACGAAAGCGUGGGGAGCAAACAGGAUUAGAUACCCUGGUAGUCCACGCCCUAAACGAUGUCUACUAGUUGUUGGGAGAGUAAAAUCUCUUAGUAACGCAGCUAACGCGUGAAGUAGACCGCCUGGGGAGUACGGUCGCAAGAUUAAAACUCAAAUGAAUUGACGG
rnacentral:rRNA from 1 species